rnacentral:rRNA from 1 species
UACGUAGGGCGCAAGCGUUAUCCGGAUUUAUUGGGCGUAAAGGGCUCGUAGGCGGUUUGUCGCGUCUGGUGUGAAAGUCCACUGCUUAACGGUGGAUCGGCGCCGGGUACGGGCAGGCUGGAGUGCGGCAGGGGAGACUGGAAUUCCCGGUGUAACGGUGGAAUGUGUAGAUAUCGGGAAGAACACCGAUGGCGAAGGCAGGUCUCUGGGCCGUCACUGACGCUGAGGAGCGAAAGCGUGGGGAGCGAACAGG